GACGAACGCUGGCGGCGUGCUUAACACAUGCAAGUCGAACGGAAAGGCCCUGCUUUUGUGGGGUGCUCGAGUGGCGAACGGGUGAGUAACACGUGAGUAACCUGCCCUUGACUUUGGGAUAACUUCAGGAAACUGGGGCUAAUACCGGAUAGGAGCUCCUGCUGCAUGGUGGGGGUUGGAAAGUUUCGGCGGUUGGGGAUGGACUCGCGGCUUAUCAGCUUGUUGGUGGGGUAGUGGCUUACCAAGGCUUUGACGGGUAGCCGGCCUGAGAGGGUGACCGGCCACAUUGGGACUGAGAUACGGCCCAGACUCCUACGGGAGGCAGCAGUGGGGAAUAUUGCACAAUGGGCGGAAGCCUGAUGCAGCAACGCCGCGUGCGGGAUGACGGCCUUCGGGUUGUAAACCGCUUUCGCCUGUGACGAAGCGUGAGUGACGGUAAUGGGUAAAGAAGCACCGGCUAACUACGUGCCAGCAGCCGCGGUGAUACGUAGGGUGCGAGCGUUGUCCGGAUUUAUUGGGCGUAAGGGCUCGUAGGUGGUUGAUCGCGUCGGAAGUGUAAUCUUGGGGCUUAACCCUGAGCGUGCUUUCGAUACGGGUUGACUUGAGGAAGGUAGGGGAGAAUGGAAUUCCUGGUGGAGCGGUGGAAUGCGCAGAUAUCAGGAGGAACACCAGUGGCGAAGGCGGUUCUCUGGGCCUUUCCUGACGCUGAGGAGCGAAAGCGUGGGGAGCGAACAGGCUUAGAUACCCUGGUAGUCCACGCUGUAAACGGUGGGUACUAGGUGUGGGGUCCAUUCCACGGGUUCCGUGCCGUAGCUAACGCUUUAAGUACCCCGCCUGGGGAGUACGGCCGCAAGGCUAAAACUCAAAGGAAUUGACGGGGCCCCGCACAAGCGGCGGAGCAUGCGGAUUAAUUCGAUGCAACGCGUAGAACCUUACCUGGGUUUGACAUGGAUCGGAAGCGCUCAGAGAUGGGUGUGCCUCUUUUGGGGUCGGUUCACAGGUGGUGCAUGGCUGUCGUCAGCUCGUGUCGUGAGAUGUUGGGUUAAGUCCCGCAACGAGCGCAACCCUUGUUCACUGUUGCCAGCACGUUAUGGUGGGGACUCAGUGGAGACCGCCGGGGUCAACUCGGAGGAAGGUGGGGAUGACGUCAAGUCAUCAUGCCCCUUAUGUCCAGGGCUUCACGCGUGCUACAAUGGCUGGUACAGAGAGUGGCGAGCCUGUGAGGGUGAGCGAAUCUCGGAAAGCCGGUCUCAGUUCGGAUUGGGGUCCGCAACUCGACCUCAUGAAGUCGGAGUCGCUAGUAAUCGCAGAUCAGCAACGCUGCGGUGAAUACGUUCCCGGG
rnacentral:rRNA from 1 species